rnacentral:misc_RNA from 1 species
GAUGAAGAACGCAGCGAAAUGCGAUACGUAAUGUGAAUUGCAGAAUUCAGUGAAUCAUCGAAUCUUUGAACGCACAUUGCGCCUGCCAGCACUCUGGCAGGCAUGCCUGUUCGAGCGUCAUUUCAACCAUCAAGCCCUAGGCUUGCGUUGGAGCCCUGCGGCUGCCGCAGGCCCCUAAAAGCAGUGGCGGGCUCGCUAUCACACCGAGUGCAGUAGAUUACUCUUCGCUCAGGGCGUGUGGCGGGUUCCAGCCGUGAAACCCCCUACUUCACAAGGUUGACAUCGGAUCAGGUAGGAAUACCCGCUGAAAUUAAGCAUAUCAAUAAGCGGAGGA